rnacentral:lncRNA from 1 species
UGAGCACUCGUAACUCCUUGCUCCCUCCUGAUGAUUCGUGUCAGUGUAGCACUCUUAGCAUUGCUGCCACUCUGUCCCCGUGCUCGUUACCUUGUUGUAGAUCGCCCGCUGGUAACUCAGAGAGGCCCUUUUGGUGCUUCGAAUUGUUUUAGGGUUAUCUCAGAUGAACGUCGGAGCACGUCCAAAUUCCAACAGCGAGAAAUUUGACUGGAAUCUCUCAACAUUUUCAUGCGACUGAUUCGUGACAUCUCCUGCAGUCUCGUGUAGUCGUGUUGGGCCGCCGCUAGUGGUUCUGUUGAUGACUUAACUUAAUGUCUCAUGCAUCAGGAUUCGCCCUGGUUGCAUCAAUUUGGUGAACACGUUAUGGUUUGAGUUCACUACACUUAUGAGAUCAGUAAUUUGGGAAAAGAAACCUAGUAUCAAAUCGGGCGUCCCUGGAAAUAUUUUUGUUGUCAGACCCAAUCGUUUCAUUAAUAUUUAGCAAACUAAUCUAUAAGACUCUUGCAAAAACUAUUUCAAUUAAUACUAGAUUUUGACUGAAAGUCUGAAGCAAACAUUUUUUUAGCAACUGGCAGGAGCUCUCCCUUUUUUCAUAUAAGAACAAGAAGAUAAUUGACCUGUUUAUAAAAGGAAAAUUGGCCAAAAACUAAUACAUACCCACACACACGCCAGCCCCGAGGUUGCGCCCCAAGCAAACUGACUACUUUGCCGCCCAAGCAACUGGAUAUGACACCCUAUCAAACGACCCGGAGCUGCCGCUCUGGCAUACAAACCUCAAGAACACACGCACCGGCCUCGAGGUUGUGUACCAGAUGAGCUGAUGACUCUAUCACCCAGGCAACUAGAGUCGGCACCCUACUACAUGAUUCAGAGCCGCUGCUUUGUCUUCCACACCAACCACGAGGCCGCAUGUAUGAUAGAAGACCAUACCUCUAAGGUGAUGGUAUCGAAAACCGCCAGUGUCCUCAGUAGGGUGGAGAGCGCGGCUGGAUGUACCAGAAGGGAUCACACACGAGGUUUUUACCUAGGUUCGGACCGUCAUGGUUUGAGGUAACACCCUAUCUCUUGCUUUGCUUUUGAUUAAUGGUAAAAACGCCUCAUGUGAGGGGGGUUACAGAUAGGAUGUGGUAAUAGCUACCGAGGUGUUGAUGAUAAGUCAGAUGAUCCUCGAUCUACUUAGCAGUAGGCUUUACAGAUUUUCUAAUCGACCCCGACUCAGAGUUGACCAAAGGAACCUUGGCUUGCAUGCCAAGAUGAUGACUAUCCUCCCAGGUAUAAUGUAUCGUCAGUAGCUCCUCCGAACUUGUCUGAAGUUUUGGAAUCAGUCCUCCUCGAAGACGAAAUACAGGCGGGCUCCUCUUGUGUUAUGUGAUUGGAUCAACCCGGCUUCUGGUUCGCCUACCUUCAAUAGUGGCACUUGCAAAUUUUUGAACAAUUACUUCACACAAGACUUUAUAACACAUUGAGUGUGAUCGAAACGCCACAAUCAAUAUUUUCCUCCGCUCUUUGUUGGGACGAUAACUAUUGGAUAUUCACAUGAAGGUUCUACACAACUUUGUGUGUCUUGUAGGCUGCCAGGGAGGAACCUAAAUAAUAACGACAACAUAAAUACUUUAUAUGAAAAUACCGACAACAUACUAACGAUGUAAUCUCUCAGUAAUUCAUAAAGAACCAAUGCAACUAUAACACAUAAAUAUAAACUUAAUUACGAAAAUGAAAAAUAUCAUAAUAAUAUCUUAUUAUUGUCUCCGGUGCAUAUUUUCAACAAGGAUAGCUUGAUACUUCUAGUAUAUUUUGAAGUAAUAUACUAUGUUUUGCGGAACCCAAGCUUGCCUAUGCCAGUAGCCGAGUGGUCGGAGCACAAACUAAACGACAGUCUCAGCUAAGGUGGAAAGUGGCAGUGAACAAUCCGAAAUAUCCGAUAUUCAUAUUCGAGAAAACGCCUGUAUCAAUCAAAUCAGACAAAAAAAAAAA